rnacentral:lncRNA from 1 species
UUCUCUCUUUUAUUUUUAGAUCUAUUUUCUUGCGCAAAAGAACCACUGUGAAACUCUUGGUUCCACCGCAACUACUGUGAAUCCUUGCACCACCACUGUCUACACAUCUUUCAUCGCCACUGCCGCAACUCCUUCAUGGCCUCUGCCCCAACUCCAUGCACCGCCACUGCCGCAACUCCUUCACCCCUUCUACCACAACUUCUUCACCGCCGCUGCCGCAACUCCUUGCACCGCCAUGCCUCUUUCUUUGCAUCCAGCCACCGCAACUUCUUGCACAACCACCGCUACAAAUCUGUUUACCACUACUUCCAUUCCGCUCAUUUCUCAUCCGCUAUCACCACGGUUGCAUCAUACACCACCAAUUUUAUCAAAUUUAUUGCCA